rnacentral:rRNA from 1 species
CGAGUUUGAUCCUGGCUCAGAGCGAACGCUGGCGGCGUGGAUUAGGCAUGCAAGUCGAACGAGACCGAUCCCUUCGGGGUGAAAGUCUAGUGGCGAACGGGUGAGUAAUACAUGGACGACCUACCUCCGAGUUGGGGACAACAGCUGGAAACGGCUGCUAAUACCCAAUCGUCCAGAGAUGGUAAAGGCGGGGACCUUCGGGCCUGCCACUUGGAGAGGGGUCCAUGUCCUAUCAGCUUGUUGGUGAGGUAACGGCUCACCAAGGCACAGACGGGUAGCCGGACCGAGAGUUUGGCCGGUCACACUGGGACUGAGACACUGCCCAGACUCCUACGGGAGGCUGCAGUCGAGAAUCUUCCGCAAUGGGCGAAAGCCUGACGGAGCGACGCCGCGUGGAGGAUGAAGGCCCUCGGGUUGUAAACUCCUGUCACACGUUAAGAAAGAGCCCGGGUUAAUACCCCGGGUGUUGACGAAAGCGCGAGAGGAAGUCACGGCUAACUUCGUGCCAGCAGCCGCGGUAAGACGAAGGUGGCAAGCGUUGCUCGGAAUCACUGGGCAUAAAGAGCACGUAGGUGGCUUGGUAAGCGGAGAAUGAAAUCCCAUGGCUCACCCAUGGAACUGUUCUUCGAACUGCCUUGCUUGAGGGCGGGAGGGGGAAGUGGAAUUCCUGGUGUAGCGGUGAAAUGCGUAGAUAUCAGGAGGAACACCGGUGGCGAAAGCGACUUCCUGGCCCGUCCCUGACACUGAGGUGCGAAAGCUAGGGGAGCAAACAGGAUUAGAUACCCUGUAGUCCUAGCCGUAAACGAUGGGCACUAGGUUGAGGGGGAGCUAAUACCCUCUGAGCCGCAGCAAAUGCAUUAAGUGCCCCGCCUGGGGAGUACGGUCGCAAGACUAAAACUCAAAGGAAUUGGCGGGGGCUCACACAAGCGGUGGAGCAUGUGGUUUAAUUCGAAGCAACUCGAAGAACCUUACCCGGGUUUGAAAUCCUUGGAUGCUGCUCCUGAAAGGGAGAUUUGCUGCCCUUCGGGGUGAAACUUGGACAGGUGUUGCAUGGCUGUCGUCAGCUCGUGUCGUGAGAUGUCGGGUUAAGUCCCUCAACGAGCGAAACCCCUGUCUCUAGUUGCCAGCGGUUCGGCCGGGGACUCUAGAGAGACUGCCGUUGUUAAAACGGAGGAAGGUGGGGACGACGUCAAGUCAUCAUGGCCUUUAUGUCCGGGGCUACACACGUGCUACAAUGGCCGGUACAGAGGGAAGCAAGACCGCAAGGUGGAGCAAAACCCACAAAGCCGGCCCCAGUUCGGAUUGGAGGCUGCAAUUCGCCUCCAUGAAGUUGGAAUCGCUAAUCGCGGAUCAGCUACGCCGCGGUGAAUAUGUUCCUGGGCCUUGUACACACCGCCCGUCAAGCCACGAGAGCCGGCAGUGCCCGAAGUCGCGCACCCAACCGCAAGGAGGGAAGUGCCUACGGUAAGGCCGGUGAUUGGGACUAAGUCGUAACAAGGUA